GUUCACGCUUCACGAGACACAACUCAACUUUAUGUCGGAGGACGAUAAAGAAAAACCAUAUCCUUUCACCAGCAGUAGAAAAAAAACAGAGGAGAAAACGGGACAAAAAAAGGAACCACACGGCACGCAAAUAUUCUACAUACCUUAGCUUCUCGGAUCAAGCGGCCACCGGUGAGAUUAACCUGUUCAACCUUCGGAAUGCGUUCCACCGUUUCGCCGAGCAUCGACUGUAUAUGGAUGUCGAUCCCAGGGCACAAAACGGAAUACACACACAACCGGAUGGAACAUAACACAUACGCGUACAUACACAGGGAAAGGGAAGAAACCGAUGUUUCCGGCGACGCAGAGUGAAGUUUCCUGCUCGUAACUGAUACCACGCAUCUUCAAGAUUCGAAAGGUAUGGCUGCUAUACAAAGCUAA